ensembl:lncRNA
ACUGGAGCUAGGCCAUGUGACUGCCCUUCCACAGCCACCUCUUGGGUCCUGCUGUGCCCAUCCUGAGCUUCCAACCUCACGGAGAUGCACCUAGGUGCUCACGCCAGGACCAGGUAGAGCCCAGUACCUGUCCUUCCAGGCAUGGGUGUGGCUUGGGGACAAAUUUCUUACCAAGAGAAAUAUGGCUAGAGAGGGCUUCAGGCCUAUCACCAGGCAGGGCUGCGCCCAGGCUGCAGGACAGGCUAUGCCCCGCCUGGCCCCGCCCUCACCACCAUGCGCUUGCUCAAUGGAGAACUGAGUUUCUGACCGGGCCUCGUCUGUGCCAGCUGUCCCUGGGUUUGAACUCAGGACCUUCCUCUUGCAAGGCAGGCGACAGAACCACUGAGCUAAAUCCCCGGCCCCAAUUCUGAUUAAUUUUAACAAUCCUGAUUAAUGUGAAAAUGGUGGUUUUUUUGGUUUUUUGUUUUGUUUUUUUUUGGUACAGGGGAUCGAACUCCGGUCCUUGCGCUGGAAACCACUGAGGGUCUUGCUGGCCUGGAAAGUGAAACCCUUCCUCCUCAGCCUCCUGCGCAGCCCAGCUAUGGAAUUCCAAGACAUAAUUCCAUUUUGUCCUCCGCUCCCAACUGAGACCUCAAUGAUCCGGUGAUGCUGUGAUUCUCCAGGACAGGAAACAUCCUGGGAGCUGCAAACAUCCUGGGAGAACAAACAUCUACUCAGUUCCUCCUUGAUCUUGGACUGUUACACCUUGUUUACCCAGGAUGUACUGAACUCUCUGCGAGUCAUUUGUUACAUUUGUUUCUCCCGAUGUACUGAGUACUGAAUAAAAGGUGCAGUAAGCUGGGGGCUUUCGUCUUUGCCCCCCAGAGCAGCACUGAUCAGACCCAAAGCUCAGCUUCUUCUCAGUCUCAUUUUUCUACCUUUUCUGUAAUUUGCCUUGUGCUGCUGUGGCUCGCAGGAGACUAGGACUUAACUGCAGAGGUUCUGGUAACGUCCCCUUUCCCUGUUCUCUACAACAGUGCUAUCACAUUAUCCUCUCAAUUGUAGGAUUACAGGUUGUGGCAUUUUAUCUAUAGUUUCAAGUGUUAUACAACGAAUCUGUAUUACUUGUAAAGCAAAACUAUAAGUGUGAAAAAGAAAAUCAUCUCUAGCUUUUUCAAAAGCAGAUUAUUUUGGCAUUUCCCCAGAACGGCUGUGUCUCAGCAUGGCACUGUGGGCCAUGAAGGGAUGCUCAGCAUCUGCACAGGGUCGUUCCUUGACUUCCUCUAAUACGGUGGACUGCGUUGUUUUUCUUUCUUUCUUUUUUUUUUUUGGUACCGGGGAUUGGACUGCAUUUUUAAGAAGUUAUUGAGAAUGUAAUUGAGUUUCUUCUAGCUUCUCAUCCCUUCAGGGCUGCUGCCAACCUGGGAAUGUCCUGUCAGCUCGUUUGUGUAUCCUUGUGUCCUUCAGUGAGCCCUCCACUCACCCUAUGUGCAUUCUUCUAGGGACAUGAUAUUUCAACUCAAAAGGCAGCUUUUAAAGGGGAUAUAUUUACUCUGUGCUGCCACUAUGGAAAUCAGUACAGAGGUUCCACAAAAAACUAAAAACAGAGGGGCUGGAGAUUUAGCUCAGUGGUUCCGCCGCCUGC